GACGAACGCUGGCGGCGUGCUUAACACAUGCAAGUCGAACGGGCCUGUCUUCUUUUUUGGGGGUGGGUUGAGUGGCGAACGGGUGAGUAUCACGUGAGUAACCUGCCCUUCGGUCCUGGAUAACCGCUUGAAAGGGCGGCUAAUACGGGGUGGUCCGGUUGGUCCGCAUGGGCUGGUCGGGAUAGAUUCACUGUUUUUGGUGUUUCGGCGGGGGAUGGGCUCGCGGCCUAUCAGCUUGUUGGUGGGGUGAUGGCCUACCAAGGCGGUGACGGGUAGCCGGCCUGAGAGGGUGGGCGGCCACACUGGGACUGAGAUACGGCCCAGGCUCCUGCGGGAGGCAGCGGUGGGGGGUAUUGCACAAUGGGCGGAAGCCUGAUGCAGCGACGUCGCGUGAGGGAUGGAGGCCUUCGGGUUGUGAACCUCUGUUUCCGGUGGUGAAGGCCCUGUCCGUGUGGUGGGGUUGACGGUAGCCGGGGAUGAAGCGCCGGCUAACUACGUG
rnacentral:rRNA from 1 species